CAGAACCAUGUCACCCUGCAGCUCUUGCCUGGUUUCCCACUGAAGCUAAGCAGCAUUGAGCUUGGCUAGCACCUGGAUGGGAGACCUUCUGGAGGAAAAUGUAAGUUAUGU
rnacentral:rRNA from 1 species